GCCAUACUACAUCUCACCAAUCCAUACAUUUUCAUCUCUUAGCCGUGCAAAUCCAUUCCAUCCAUAUAUCCAUACACAUCCUAGACACUUGUGCUACAACAAGGUGGUGAAAACAAAGGUCCUUGACGUUUCAAGCUUGGAACUUUGGAGCGUUUUAGGUGUACUCCGUUCUUGCUUUCAAUGUCUACUUUUUAUUUUCUAAUUUUGUUGCAAUUAUGAGUGGCUAAACCCCUAUUU
rnacentral:lncRNA from 1 species